rnacentral:rRNA from 1 species
GGGUUGUGAGGUUAAGCGACUAAGCGUACACGGUGGAUGCCCUGGCAGUCAGAGGCGAUGAAGGACGUGCUAAUCUGCGAUAAGCGUCGGUAAGGUGAUAUGAACCGUUAUAACCGGCGAUUUCCGAAUGGGGAAACCCAGUGUGUUUCGACACACUAUCAUUAACUGAAUCCAUAGGUUAAUGAGGCGAACCGGGGGAACUGAAACAUCUAAGUACCCCGAGGAAAAGAAAUCAACCGAGAUUCCCCCAGUAGCGGCGAGCGAACGGGGAGCAGCCCAGAGCCUGAAUCAGUGUGUGUGUUAGUGGAAGCGUCUGGAAAGGCGCGCGAUACAGGGUGACAGCCCCGUACACAAAAAUGCACAUAUUGUGAGCUCGAUGAGUAGGGCGGGACACGUGGUAUCCUGUCUGAAUAUGGGGGGACCAUCCUCCAAGGCUAAAUACUCCUGACUGACCGAUAGUGAACCAGUACCGUGAGGGAAAGGCGAAAAGAACCCCGGCGAGGGGAGUGAAAAAGAACCUGAAACCGUGUACGUACAAGCAGUGGGAGCCUCUUUUAUGGGGUGACUGCGUACCUUUUGUAUAAUGGGUCAGCGACUUAUAUUCUGUAGCAAGGUUAACCGAAUAGGGGAGCCGAAGGGAAACCGAGUCUUAACUGGGCGUUAAGUUGCAGGGUAUAGACCCGAAACCCGGUGAUCUAGCCAUGGGCAGGUUGAAGGUUGGGUAACACUAACUGGAGGACCGAACCGACUAAUGUUGAAAAAUUAGCGGAUGACUUGUGGCUGGGGGUGAAAGGCCAAUCAAACCGGGAGAUAGCUGGUUCUCCCCGAAAGCUAUUUAGGUAGCGCCUCGUGAAUUCAUCUCCGGGGGUAGAGCACUGUUUCGGCAAGGGGGUCAUCCCGACUUACCAACCCGAUGCAAACUGCGAAUACCGGAGAAUGUUAUCACGGGAGACACACGGCGGGUGCUAACGUCCGUCGUGAAGAGGGAAACAACCCAGACCGCCAGCUAAGGUCCCAAAGUCAUGGUUAAGUGGGAAACGAUGUGGGAAGGCCCAGACAGCCAGGAUGUUGGCUUAGAAGCAGCCAUCAUUUAAAGAAAGCGUAAUAGCUCACUGGUCGAGUCGGCCUGCGCGGAAGAUGUAACGGGGCUAAACCAUGCACCGAAGCUGCGGCAGCGACACUAUGUGUUGUUGGGUAGGGGAGCGUUCUGUAAGCCUGUGAAGGUGUGCUGUGAGGCAUGCUGGAGGUAUCAGAAGUGCGAAUGCUGACAUAAGUAACGAUAAAGCGGGUGAAAAGCCCGCUCGCCGGAAGACCAAGGGUUCCUGUCCAACGUUAAUCGGGGCAGGGUGAGUCGACCCCUAAGGCGAGGCCGAAAGGCGUAGUCGAUGGGAAACAGGUUAAUAUUCCUGUACUUGGUGUUACUGCGAAGGGGGGACGGAGAAGGCUAUGUUGGCCGGGCGACGGUUGUCCCGGUUUAAGCGUGUAGGCUGGUUUUCCAGGCAAAUCCGGAAAAUCAAGGCUGAGGCGUGAUGACGAGGCACUACGGUGCUGAAGCAACAAAUGCCCUGCUUCCAGGAAAAGCCUCUAAGCAUCAGGUAACAUCAAAUCGUACCCCAAACCGACACAGGUGGUCAGGUAGAGAAUACCAAGGCGCUUGAGAGAACUCGGGUGAAGGAACUAGGCAAAAUGGUGCCGUAACUUCGGGAGAAGGCACGCUGAUAUGUAGGUGAAGCGACUUGCUCGUGGAGCUGAAAUCAGUCGAAGAUACCAGCUGGCUGCAACUGUUUAUUAAAAACACAGCACUGUGCAAACACGAAAGUGGACGUAUACGGUGUGACGCCUGCCCGGUGCCGGAAGGUUAAUUGAUGGGGUCAGCGCAAGCGAAGCUCUUGAUCGAAGCCCCGGUAAACGGCGGCCGUAACUAUAACGGUCCUAAGGUAGCGAAAUUCCUUGUCGGGUAAGUUCCGACCUGCACGAAUGGCGUAAUGAUGGCCAGGCUGUCUCCACCCGAGACUCAGUGAAAUUGAACUCGCUGUGAAGAUGCAGUGUACCCGCGGCAAGACGGAAAGACCCCGUGAACCUUUACUAUAGCUUGACACUGAACAUUGAGCCUUGAUGUGUAGGAUAGGUGGGAGGCUUUGAAGUGUGGACGCCAGUCUGCAUGGAGCCGACCUUGAAAUACCACCCUUUAAUGUUUGAUGUUCUAACGUUGACCCGUGAUCCGGGUUGCGGACAGUGUCUGGUGGGUAGUUUGACUGGGGCGGUCUCCUCCUAAAGAGUAACGGAGGAGCACGAAGGUUGGCUAAUCCUGGUCGGACAUCAGGAGGUUAGUGCAAUGGCAUAAGCCAGCUUGACUGCGAGCGUGACGGCGCGAGCAGGUGCGAAAGCAGGUCAUAGUGAUCCGGUGGUUCUGAAUGGAAGGGCCAUCGCUCAACGGAUAAAAGGUACUCCGGGGAUAACAGGCUGAUACCGCCCAAGAGUUCAUAUCGACGGCGGUGUUUGGCACCUCGAUGUCGGCUCAUCACAUCCUGGGGCUGAAGUAGGUCCCAAGGGUAUGGCUGUUCGCCAUUUAAAGUGGUACGCGAGCUGGGUUUAGAACGUCGUGAGACAGUUCGGUCCCUAUCUGCCGUGGGCGCUGGAGAACUGAGGGGGGCUGCUCCUAGUACGAGAGGACCGGAGUGGACGCAUCACUGGUGUUCGGGUUGUCAUGCCAAUGGCACUGCCCGGUAGCUAAAUGCGGAAGAGAUAAGUGCUGAAAGCAUCUAAGCACGAAACUUGCCCCGAGAUGAGUUCUCCCUGACCCUUUAAGGGUCCUGAAGGAACGUUGAAGACGACGACGUUGAUAGGCCGGGUGUGUAAGCGCAGCGAUGCGUUGAGCUAACCGGUACUAAUGAACCGUGAGGCUUAACCUUACAACGCCGAAGCUGUU